GAUGAAGAACGCAGCGAAAUGCGAUACUUGGUGUGAAUUGCAGAAUCCCGUGAACCAUCGAGUCUUUGAACGCAAGUUGCGCCCGAAGCCAUUAGGCCGAGGGCACGCCUGCCUGGGCGUCACACGUCGUUGCCCCCCCAUCUACUCCUUCGGGAUUGCGGGGGGCGGAUGAUGGCCUCCCGUGCGCCUCGUCGCGCGGUUGGCAUAAAUGCCAAGUCCUCGGCGACGCACGCCACGACAAUCGGUGGUUGCGAAACCUCGGUUGCCCGUCGUGUGCGGUCGUCGCGCAUCGAGGGCUCGAAAAAAUUGCCGGGCUUCGGCUCGGCUUUCAACGCGACCCCAGGUCAGGCGGGGUUACCCGCUGAAUUUAAGCAUAUCAAAAGCGGAGGA
rnacentral:misc_RNA from 1 species